AGGCUACUGCGGAGAACGACAGGAAGUUAGUUUAUUCCCUACGAGUCGUCUACACCAGGGAUCCGCCGCUGUUCGCAGAGCGCAGACCCGCGCGUCGGGAAGCGUGCAAACGGAUAUCGUGGAGCCCACCUAUUUACUAGGGUGUAGACUAUCUUCCACCGGCUUCAGCGGUAACGUC
rnacentral:other from 1 species